UUUAGAUCCCAAUUUACAACUCGAAGCACCAUUGCAAGUGGAAUAUAUAGUGCAAAUGUGAAAUUAUUGCUUCUUUUUCUGCAAGUCCGAAUAUAUGCUUAAACUAUUAUGAUAAGCCCUCAUUCAAGCAUACUUAUUCUUAGGGGUGGGCAUUUUAACCGGAACCAAAUCUCUCGAACCGAAAUUGAACCAAAAUCGAAGGUUCCAGUUCGGUUCCCCAAAAAAAUAUAUAAGAACCGAAACCGAGAACUGAGAACUGAGUAGGUCUAGGUCGGUUUUUGGUUUUUGAAUUAGAACAAUGGGUAACCGGAUGGAACCUAUUUUUUUUAUAAUUUUUUUAUUUUUAAUAAU
rnacentral:lncRNA from 1 species